rnacentral:rRNA from 1 species
UACGAAGGGGGCUAGCGUUGCUCGGAAUCACUGGGCGUAAAGGGUGCGUAGGCGGGUCUUUAAGUCAGGGGUGAAAUCCUGGAGCUCAACUCCAGAACUGCCUUUGAUACUGAGGAUCUUGAGUUCGGGAGAGGUGAGUGGAACUGCGAGUGUAGAGGUGAAAUUCGUAGAUAUUCGCAAGAACACCAGUGGCGAAGGCGGCUUCUUGAGCCCUACCUGACGCUGAGGCGCGAAAGCCAGGGGAGCGAACGGG